rfam:Vitrella brassicaformis CCMP3155 genome assembly, contig: scaffold37
UCCGACAUAGUCUAGUCGGUUAGGAUACACGGCUCUCACUCGCGGGUCCCCGUGAGACUCGGGUUCGAUUCCCGAUGUCGGAA